UCCUGGCUCAGGACGAACGCUGGCGGUUGUGCCUAAUACAUGCAAGUCGAGCGAGCUGAACCAACAGCCAACUUCGGUGAUGACGUUGGGAACGCGAGCGGCGGAUGGGUGAGUAACACGUGGGGAACCUGCCCCAUAGUCUGGGAUACCACUUGGAAACAGGUGCGGCCCCGGAUAAGAAAGCAGAUCGCAUGAUCAGCUUAUAAAAGUGCGGCGUAAGCUGUCGCUAUGGGAUGGCCCCGCGGUGCAUUAGCUAGUUGGUAGGGUAACGGCCUACCAAGGCAAUGAUGCAUAGCCGAGUUGAGAGGCCUUAUCGGCCACAUUGGGACUGAGACACGGCCCAAACUCCUCGGGAGGCAGCAGUAGGGAAUCUUCCACAAUGGACGAAAGUCUGAUGGAGCAACGCCGCGUGAGUGAAGAAGGUUUUCGGAUCGUAAAGCUCUGUUGUUGGUGAAGAAGGAUAGAGGUAGUAACUGGCCUUUAUUUGACGGUAAUCAACCAGAAAGUCACGGCUAACUACGUGCCAGCAGCCGCGGUGCGUACGUAGGUGGCAAGCGUGUCCGGAUUUAUUGGGCGUAAAGCGAGCGCAGGCGGAAGAAUAAGUCUGAUGUGAAAGCCCUCGGCUUAACCGAGGAACUGCAUCGGAAACUGUUUUUCUUGAGUGCAGAAGAGGAGAGUGGAACUCCAUGUAGCGGUGGAAAAUGCGUAGAUAUAUGGAAGAACACCAGUGGCGAAGGCGGCUCUCUGGUCUGCAACUGACGCUGAGGCUCGAAAGCAUGGGUAGCGAACAGGAUUAGAUACCCUGGUAGUCCAUGCCGUAAACGAUGAGUGCUAAGUGUUGGGAGGUUUCCGCCUCUCAGUGCUGCAGCUAACGCAUUAAGCACUCCGCCUGGGGAGUACGACCGCAAGGUUGAAACUCAAAGGAAUUGACGGGGGCCCGCACAAGCGGUGGAGCAUGUGGUUUAAUUCGAAGCAACGCGAAGAACCUUACCAGGUCUUGACAUCUAGUGCAAUCCGUCCAGAUACGGAGUUCCCUUCGGGGACACUAAGACAGGUGGUGCAUGGCUGUCGUCAGCUCGUGUCGUGAGAUGUUGGGUUAAGUCCCGCAACGAGCGCAACCCUUGUCAUUAGUUGCCAGCAUUAAGUUGGGCACUCUAAUGAGACUGCCGGUGACAAACCGGAGGAAGGUGGGGAUGACGUCAAGUCAUCAUGCCCCUUAUGACCUGGGCUACACACGUGCUACAAUGGACAGUACAACGAGGAGCAAGCCUGCGAAGGCAAGCGAAUCUCUUAAAGCUGUUCUCAGUUCGGACUGCAGUCUGCAACUCGACUGCACGAAGCUGGAAUCGCUAGUAAUCGCGGAUCAGCACGCCGCGGUGAAUACGUUCCCGGGCCUUGUACACACCGCCCGUCACACCAUGGGAGUCUGCAAUGCCCAAAGCCGGUGGCCUAACCUUCGGGAAGGAGCCGUCUAAGGC
rnacentral:rRNA from 1 species